GACGAACGCUGGCGGCGUGCCUAAUACAUGCAAGUAGAACGCUGAAGGAGGAGCUUGCUUCUCUGGAUGAGUUGCGAACGGGUGAGUAACGCGUAGGUAACCUGCCUGGUAGCGGGGGAUAACUAUUGGAAACGAUAGCUAAUACCGCAUAAGAGUAGAUGUCACAUGACAUUUGCUUAAAAGGUGCAAUUGCAUCACUACCAGAUGGACCUGCGUUGUAUUAGCUAGUUGGUGAGGUAACGGCUCACCAAGGCAACGAUACAUAGCCGACCUGAGAGGGUGAUCGGCCACACUGGGACUGAGACACGGCCCAGACUCCUACGGGAGGCAGCAGUAGGGAAUCUUCGGCAAUGGACGGAAGUCUGACCGAGCAACGCCGCGUGAGUGAAGAAGGUUUUCGGAUCGUAAAGCUCUGUUGUAAGAGAAGAACGAGUGUGAGAGUGGAAAGUUCACACUGUGACGGUAUCUGACGAGAAAGGGACGGCUAACUACGUG
rnacentral:rRNA from 1 species